AUGCAACAGGUGACCGUCCUUGAGGUAGAGGGUGGUAUUAGUACCCCUUCCAAGGGGCUCUCCAGUAUCACGAGUGAUGGUGAAGGAGCCACCAGCCUGAGACUCCCACACAUACUGCUCAUCAUUUUUUAUUUAUUUUUGAAUAGUUUGACUUGCUUAUCACAUGUGUCACACAUACUGCUCAUCAUCGUUGUGCUUGGUAGUCACAACGACUCGCUCAGCAACAAGGUAAGCAGAGUAGAAACCAACACCAAGGGUGUGUUUGGUUCGGGAACGAAGUGUAAUGGAAUGUCAUGGUUCCGUUCUACUAGAAUGGUUCGGUUCCAUCUCUGUGUUUGGUAG
rnacentral:rRNA from 1 species